rnacentral:rRNA from 1 species
UACGUAGGGGGCAAGCGUUGUCCGGAAUUACUGGGCGUAAAGCGUGCGCAGGCGGUUUUGUAAGUCUGUCGUGAAAUCCCCGGGCUCAACCUGGGAAUUGCGAUGGAGACUGCAAGGCUAGAAUCUGGCAGAGGGGGGUAGAAUUCCACGUGUAGCAGUGAAAUGCGUAGAGAUGUGGAGGAACACCGAUGGCGAAGGCAGCCCCCUGGGUCAAGAUUGACGCUCAUGCACGAAAGCGUGGGGAGCAAACAGG